rnacentral:rRNA from 1 species
ACCCCGCAAGGGGUUGUUAGCGUGGCAAACGGGUGAGUAACGCGUGGGCGACCUACCUCAGAGUGGGGGAUAACCUUCCGAAAGGGAGGCUAAUACCGCAUGACAUGCCCUGUUUAGAUACAGGGACAUCAAAGCCGGGGAUCGCAAGACCUGGCGCUUGGAGAGGGGCCUACGUCCGAUUAGCUAGUUGGUGGGGUAACGGCUCACCAAGGCGACGAUCGGUAUCCGGCCUGAGAGGGCGGACGGACACACUGGGACUGAGACACGGCCCAGACUCCUACGGGAGGCAGCAGUAGGGAAUUGUUCGCAAUGGGCGCAAGCCUGACGACGCAACGCCGCGUGGAGGAUGAAGACCUUCGGGUCGUAAACUCCUUUCGACAGAGAUGAACACCUCUCGACCUAAUACGUUGAGAGGCUGACAGUAUCUAGGGAAGAAGCCCCGGCUAACUCCGUGCCAGCAGCCGCGGUAAUACGGGGGGGGCAAGCGUUGUUCGGAAUUACUGGGCGUAAAGGGUUCGUAGGUGGCCAACUAAGUCAGACGUGAAAUCCCUCAGCUUAACUGGGGAACUGCGUCUGAUACUGGUUGGCUUGAGUGCAGGAGAGGAACGCGGAAUUCCAGGUGUAGCGGUGAAAUGCGUAGAUAUCUGGAGGAACACCGGUGGCGAAGGCGGCGUUCUGGACUGCAACUGACACUGAGGAACGAAAGCCAGGGGAGCAAACGGGAUUAGAUACCCCGGUAGUCCUGGCCCUAAACGAUGAAUGCUUGGUGUGGCGGGUAUCGAUCCCUGCCGUGCCGAAGCUAACGCGAUAAGCA